AACCUCAUUUGCAUAUAUGGGAAAAUUAAACUUCUCAUUUGCAUAUAUGGGAAAAUACCGUGCUCCCGCUAGCGCACUGUGACUUUUGGCCUUUGACACCACAAAUCAUGACGUAUAGUCACAUGCAACCAUUUGCAAUGGGAACAACGUUGCUACAGGGUAGCGAACAGAGUCUUGCGAGAAUUGGUUGAGUCUUUAGCACCUCUAAGCCGCGAGAAUGCAGAAAUUACAAAGAAAACUGGCUGGUCUCUCUUCGGAUGUGUAUUAAAGAGCCAACACUAGUUAAAGGGAACUCUGUACUGCUGUUGCCAAUAUUAACGAGGGAGACUUCAGUUUGCAAAACGCACACCAUCCUGUCUCCCUGGAUGCACCUGUAGCAGAUGGGUUUCCAGUGUGGACUUGAGCCGUCUCACCGCAUCCGGGAUGGAGCUGGUUGAUCGGUUGAUCCGAUUGAAAACGGCAUGGACCUGUUCCACCCCUUGCUCCCCAUGAAAACCCAACCCAACCCCCCAACACCAUAUCCAGGGUAUGACAUGUUCUUCCAAGAGGUGCAUCUUGACGGAUACAGACGAGGAUACUGUUUGGCCAUCACAGGAGGCAGCUAAUUGUCUCCUUAUGAGAGGCAACAGAAGCUCAUUCUCCCACGCUUGUAUGGCCGGCCCUGCACUUGUUAAGGAAUCCUGAAGCCCACAAAACCAGAUCUACAAGUGCCUUUUGCAUCUACUCAAAGGAAAGGUGUGGAAGAAGUUUCCUGGACCAGAUUGCUAUGAUCAGCCAUCAUACUGUUUCUGUCUACAUUCUGAGCAAUACAUGUUAUGUUUAUGGGUAGUUUAUUCAUAUUAGAUGUAACAAAGCAUACCACCUUUAUUAAGGUUCAACAUCAUGGAAUGGAUCAAAUUUUCUAUGGACUGAGGUGUUAAGUUUAAGAGUUCCUACUUGAAUUCAUAGAGCUCACUUGAAAGUUUUUGCAAGGAUUAUAGAAGGUGAUAUUCAGUUGUUGUUUAAUUUAACAUUUAUAAACAAGGUGUCAAAGAUGAGAAGAAUCAAGGUAUAAAGUUGUUCUGGUAUGAAUAAUCAUUGUCAUUGAUUGAGAUGGAUAUGAAGACAAGAAAUAAAAAUAGCACAUAGACACA